AACGAACGCUGGCGGCACGCCUAACACAUGCAAGCCGAACGGUAACGGCUCUUCGGAGGCCGACGAGUGGCGGACGGGUGAGUAACGCGUAGCUACCUGCCCUCUGGCGGGGACAACAGUUGGAAACGACUGCUAAUACCGCAUAUCUCCUACGGGAGAAAGACCUUCGGGUCACCAGAGGAGGGGGCUGCGUUGGAUUAGCUAGUUGGUAAGGUAACGGCUUACCAAGGCGACGAUCCAUAGCUGGUCUGAGAGGAUGAUCAGCCACACUGGAACUGAGACACGGUCCAGACUCCUACGGGAGGCAGCAGUGAGGAAUUUUGGUCAAUGGGGGAAACCCUGAACCAGCGACGCCGCGUGUGGGAUGGACGGGGCUUUGCCUUGUAAACCACUGUCAGGUAGGGAAGAAAGCCCCGCUUAGCGGGACAGGACUGUACCUACAGAGGAAGGGCCGGCUAACUACGUGCCAG
rnacentral:rRNA from 1 species